rnacentral:rRNA from 1 species
GGGAACUACGAGCCAAGCUUAAAACCCAAAGGACUUGACGGUACCCCAUAUCCCCCUAGAGGAGCCUGUCCUAUAAUCGAUAACCCCCGUUCAACCUCACCAUUUCUAGCAACUCAGCCUGUAUACCUCCGUCGUCAGCUUACCACGUGAGCGCUAGUGAGCUCAAUGUUUUUUCAACUAAACGUCAGGUCAAGGUGCAACACAUGAAAUGGGAAGAGAUGGGCUACACUUUCUAACAUAGACCACACGGAAGACUAACUAUGAAAUCUAGUCAGAAG